rnacentral:rRNA from 1 species
GACAGAGGAUGCAAGCGUUAUCCGGAAUGAUUGGGCGUAAAGCGUCUGUAGGUGGCUUUUUAAGUCCGCCGUCAAAUCCCAGGGCUCAACCCUGGACAGGCGGUGGAAACUACCAAGCUGGAGUACGGUAGGGGCAGAGGGAAUUUCCGGUGGAGCGGUGAAAUGCGUAGAUAUCUGGAGGAACACCGGUGGCGAAGGCGGCAUCCUGGACCAACACUGACACUGAUGAGCGAAAGCCAGGGGAGCAAACGGG